rnacentral:rRNA from 1 species
AGUGAACGCUGGCGGUAGGCCUAACACAUGCAAGUCGAACGGCAGCACAGUAAGAGCUUGCUCUUACGGGUGGCGAGUGGCGGACGGGUGAGGAAUACAUCGGAAUCUACUUUUUCGUGGGGGAUAACGUAGGGAAACUUACGCUAAUACCGCAUACGACCUACGGGUGAAAGCAGGGGAUCUUCGGACCUUGCGCGUUUGAAUGAGCCGAUGUCGGAUUAGCUAGUUGGCGGGGUCAAGGCCCACCAAGGCGACGAUCCGUAGCUGGACUGAGAGGAUGAUCAGCCACACUGGAACUGCGACACGGUCCAGACUCCUACGGGAGGCAGCAGUGGGGAAUAUUGGACAAUGGGCGAAAGUCUGAUCCAGCCAUACCGCGUGGGUGAAGAAGGCCUGCGGGUUGUAAAGCCCUUUUGUUGGGAAAGAAAAGCAGCAGGUUAAUACCCCGCUGUUCUGACGGUACCCAAAGAAUAAGCACCGGCUAACUUCGUG